rnacentral:rRNA from 1 species
CCUACGGGAGGCAGCAGUGAGGAAUAUUGGUCAAUGGACGAGAGUCUGAACCAGCCAAGUAGCGUGAAGGAUGACUGCCCUAUGGGUUGUAAACUUCUUUUAUAUGGGAAUAAAAUGUUCCACGUGUGGGAUUUUGUAUGUACCAUAUGAAUAAGGAUCGGCUAACUCCGUGCCAGCAGCCGCGGUAAUACGGAGGAUCCGAGCGUUAUCCGGAUUUAUUGGGUUUAAAGGGAGCGUAGGUGGAUUGUUAAGUCAGUUGUGAAAGUUUGCGGCUCAACCGUAAAAUUGCAGUUGAAACUGGCAGUCUUGAGUACGGUAGAGGUAGGCGGAAUUCGUGGUGUAGCGGUGAAAUGCUUAGAUAUCACGAAGAACUCCGAUUGCGAAGGCAGUUCACUGGACUGCAACUGACACUGAGGCUCGAAAGUGUGGGUAUCAAACAGGAUUAGAUACCCUUGUAGUC